UACGAAGGGGGCUAGCGUUGUUCGGAAUUACUGGGCGUAAAGCGUACGUAGGCGGAUUGUUAAGUGAGGGGUGAAAUCCCGAGGCUCAACCUCGGAACUGCCUUUCAUACUGGCAAUCUUGAGUCCGGGAGAGGUGAGUGGAAUUCCUAGUGUAGAGGUGAAAUUCGUAGAUAUUAGGAAGAACACCAGUGGCGAAGGCGGCUCACUGGCCCGGAACUGACGCUGAGGUACGAAAACGUGGGGAGCAAACAGGAUCAGAUACCCUGGUAGUCCACGCCGUAAACGAUGGAUGCUAGCCGUCGGGGAGCUUGCUCUUCGGUGGCGCAGCUAACGCAUUAAGCAUCCCGCCUGGGGAGUACGGUCGCAAGAUUAAA
rnacentral:rRNA from 1 species